UACAGAGGUCUCAAGCGUUGUUCGGAUUCAUUGGGCGUAAAGGGGGUGUAGGUGGCGCCGUAAGUCGGGUGUGAAAUUUCGGAGCUUAACUCCGAAACUGCAUUCGAUACUGCGGUGCUUGAGGACUGGAGAGGAGACUGGAAUUCAUGGUGUAGCAGUGAAAUGCGUAGAGAUCAUGAGGAAGACCAGUGGCGAAGGCGGGUCUCUGGACAGUUCCUGACACUGAGACACGAAGGCCAGGGGAGCAAACGGG
rnacentral:rRNA from 1 species